AACGAACGCUGGCGGCAUGCCUAACACAUGCAAGUCGAACGAGAUCUUCGGGUCUAGUGGCGCACGGGUGCGUAACGCGUGGGAAUCUGCCCUUUGGUUCGGAAUAACAGUUGGAAACGACUGCUAAUACCGGAUGAUGACGAAAGUCCAAAGAUUUAUCGCCAGAGGAUGAGCCCGCGUAGGAUUAGCUAGUUGGUGGGGUAAAGGCGCACCAAGGCGACGAUCCUUAGCUGGUCUGAGAGGAUGAUCAGCCACACUGGGACUGAGACACGGCCCAGACUCCUACGGGAGGCAGCAGUGGGGAAGAUUGGACAAUGGGCGAAAGCCUGAGCCAGCAAUGCCGCGUGAGUGAUGAAGGCCUUAGGGUUGUAAAGCUCUUUUACCCGGGAUGAUAAUGACAGUACCGGGAGAAUAAGCUCCGGCUAACUCCGUGCCAGCCGCCGCCGUAA
rnacentral:rRNA from 1 species